rnacentral:rRNA from 1 species
UACGAAGGGGGCUAGCGUUGCUCGGAAUCACUGGGCGUAAAGGGUGCGUAGGCGGGUUUUUAAGUCAGGGGUGAAAUCCUGGAGCUCAACUCCAGAACUGCCUUUGAUACUGAAGAUCUUGAGUCCGGGAGAGGUGAGUGGAACUGCGAGUGUAGAGGUGAAAUUCGUAGAUAUUCGCAAGAACACCAGUGGCGAAGGCGGCUCACUGGCCCGGUAUUGACGCUGAGGCACAAAAGCGUGGGGAGCAAACAGG